CAUAGAAACUGCUUAGGUUGGAGUGGGGCUACUAAACGAACGGACUGCUUCCGGCCCGAGGUGCGGGGCGGAGGUGAAAACCGUGGUUGCCCGCGGUAAGAAGCCCUGGCCGCUCCGCUCCUGGGCACUGCUGUGGGCGUUCAGUUUUCUACAUUUGUGCCAAAACAAGUUGAGAGGAGGAACGGAGAUAACCUUGUGAGUUGUGGCCCAGCCCUGAUUCCCCGGAAAUGACAAACGAGGGGAACAAGAAACAUCAGCAAUUCUCCCUGGAAGAGAAAAUCAAAGUUGUAGAGGCUGUAAACUCCAGCAAGAAGAAAGGCAAUGUGGCAAAAGAACUUGGUAUUACUCCUUCCACUUUGUGUUCUUAAAGGAUCAUGCUAAGUUUGAAGAAAAGGUUCGGGAGGGAUCUGUGGGACCCCAGUAGAAAAGGAUGAGGAAUGCUCUCUAUGAUGACAUUGAUAAAGCUGUUUGUGCUUGGUUUCAAGAAAUCCAUGCCAAAAACAUUCCCAUGACUGGUUCUGUCAUUCGGAAUAAAGCACUAAACUUGGCCAA